rnacentral:rRNA from 1 species
ACGGGAGGCAGCAGUGGGGAAUAUUGCACAAUGGGGGAAACCCUGAUGCAGCGACGCCGCGUGAGUGAAGAAGUAUUUCGGUAUGUAAAGCUCUAUCAGCAGGGAAGAAAAUGACGGUACCUGCACAAGAAGCCCCGGCUAACUACGUGCCAGCAGCCGCGGUAAUACGUAGGGGGCAAGCGUUAUCCGGAUUUACUGGGUGUAAAGGGAGCGUAGACGGCAGUGCAAGUCUGAAGUGAAAUCCCGUGGCUCAACCGCGGGACUGCUUUGGAAACUGUACAGCUUGAGUACCGGAGGGGUAAGCGGAAUUUCUAGUGUAGCGGUGAAAUGCGUAGAUAUUAGGAAGAACACCGGUGGCGAAGGCGGCUUACUGGACGGUAACUGACGUUGAGGCUCGAAAGCGUGGGGAGCAAACAGGAUUAGAUACCCUGGUA